rnacentral:rRNA from 1 species
UACGUAGGUGGCAAGCGUUAUCCGGAUUUAUUGGGCGUAAAGGGAACGCAGGCGGUCUUUUAAGUCUGAUGUGAAAGCCUUCGGCUUAACCGGAGUAGUGCAUUAGAAACUGGGAGACUUGAGUGCAGAAGAGGAGAGUGGAACUCCAUGUGUAGCGGUGAAAUGCGUAGAUAUAUGGAAGAACACCAGUGGCGAAAGCGGCUCUCUGGUCUGUAACUGACGUUGAGGUUCGAAAGCGUGGGUAGCAAACAGG